GUUAAACUGAAGAGUGUGAAAAUCUGUAUAUGUAAAUGAUUAUAACAAGUUAACAACCCUUAUCUGGCUGUGGCUACAUGCUACAUCUUCCUUAGAAUUGAUGUGUCACCGAAAUAAGACUAUGAUUUCAUUCAUUUAAAGAUAUGCUAUGAAAAAAUAAAAAGAGCUGUAUUUAUACAUGCCUGAAUGGAUUCCUUCAAACCAGCAACCAGCAGUCAGUCAUGCUCAAUUUUUGCAUGAGCAUGUUUCAACAUUUAUUUGUACUACAGAGCACCAGAUUUCAACUGAAGGUCUCACUGAACGCUUCUUUGUUGGAAUCGUUGGUUUUGGGGUUAUUCCGAAUUUUCCUUCACCCUACCCGAAAAUGUUAUUGAACCAUAGGAUACGAAAUCAUCGUUGGUGUCAUUGCCAAAAUCAGAUAAAUUACCUUAACAUCAUUGCAGCAACAAGCCAACAACAUACCUUAUUAACAUUUUUGCAGCUUUUGAGAACUUAUCGACUGAGAAACAGAAAAGAGGUUUCUAAUAACAAGGACCACAAAGGCACAAACAUCAUGGAUUGAUGAAUUAAUAUUGAAUAUGGAUUGAUCAUGUGUUUGAAACAGAUAAGGUUGCAGUGGAAUAUUU